rnacentral:rRNA from 1 species
GAUGAACGCUGGCGGCGUGCCUAAUACAUGCAAGUCGAGCGAACGGACGAGAAGCUUGCUUCUCUGAUGUUAGCGGCGGACGGGUGAGUAACACGUGGAUAACCUACCUAUAAGACUGGGAUAACUUCGGGAAACCGUAGCUAAUACCGGAUAAUAUUUUGAACCGCAUGGUUCAAAAGUGAAAGACGGUCUUGCUGUCACUUAUAGAUGGAUCCGCGCUGCAUUAGCUAGUUGGUAAGGUAACGGCUUACCAAGGCAACGAUGCAUAGCCGACCUGAGAGGGUGAUCGGCCACACUGGAACUGAGACACGGUCCAGACUCCUACGGGAGGCAGCAGUAGGGAAUCUUCCGCAAUGGGCGAAAGCCUGACGGAGCAACGCCGCGUGAGUGAUGAAGGUCUUCGGAUCGUAAAACUCUGUUAUUAGGGAAGAACAUAUGUGUAAGUAACUGUGCACAGCGUGACGGUACCUAAUCAGAAAGCCACGGCUAACUACGUG